rnacentral:lncRNA from 1 species
CCAUCAAGUGUGCUAAGUUAGCCGAUCAUCAUGUUUGCCUGUGGUUUAGGGGUUGCCAAACUUUCCGCACACGUGGUAUGCACCCUCUCUAUUAUUCUUUACAAUCCUUCCAUAGGAUGUAUGCUGGCCAAGAUUUUUCCUAUGGCACAUGCAAGUGCGUGGAAGGUUCGAUCUCAACAAGGUUAGCUUGGAUUGGAACUCGUGCGAUUCACCCUCCUUAUCUUUGGCUCAUGUCCUCCCUUCAACAAGGUGGGCAUGAGAGCUUGCGAAAAAGAGAGUGUGGUGGUAUGCAAGUGGCUAGGGUAUUGGGAGGAAGGGUACGAGCCCAAUAGGGUCACUCGGA